rnacentral:lncRNA from 1 species
CUGGUUUCAAACAGAUGGAGUAAUUGGCCAAGGCAGCGUCAGGACUUACCUGUACGCACUAUGGGCAGAGUGACAACUGCUCACGAGUGCCAGCUGCUCAUGGAUAGCUGACCUCACAGCUGGGAUUCUAAAGACAUCCAGGAGCUGCUAAGAAUUCUUUAUCUCAGGUAUCCUCCCUUCUUUCUCCAUUGUGGCAUCAGGUGCCUGCAACACUUCACUGGUGCAAGGAAUACUAUGAUUGGGAAGCUGAAGGGCUUCAGGACUGCUUAAGCUAAACUGCAUGAAUAUGAGUCAAAUCUGAAGGGCUCAGAACAUUCAGGACAUACACAAAUGUGAUGCAAAAAAACUUAUUUAUUGAAGACAAUUUUGUUAGAGCUGCUGUUUCCAGGAGUCCUAUGAAACAGACACAUCAUGCAGCCAAUAGGAAAUAAUUUGUCAGCCAAACCACAUUCCAACCUAAUUAUGCCCACCUGGUACAGAGGAACUCUACACAUGUGCAAAGAGUGAUGAAAUGAAUAUGCUGUCUUUUUUAAUGCAAUCAACAGUGAUAUUCAAAUGUGAUUCUUUGCUUGCUGUUAAGUUUUAUUAAACACAAUGAAAAAAAUGAAAACAAGGUUUCCAAGUGUCAUAAAAAAGAUUAAAGCACAAAAUACAGGAAAUCCCUCAUAAAAUCCAUGAAACAUUCUAAAUCUAGAAAAAUUCAUCUUUGAUUAGGGAAAGAAACAAUGCUAAAUUUUCUCAAAAGGAAGUUUACAAUUUUCUAACAAGAUACAUGGUAAUAUAUUCAAGCAAAUUUUUUUUAAGCUGCUUGCUUCUAAUGUUAUUUGCUUGAUGAAUAAAAAGUCCAUUAUUUUUCAUCAGUAUGCUGGAUGUCAAUUCUAUUUUUUGCCUGGUAAGUUAUUUCACCUGAAAGCUGUUAAAUGGCACAUAGACAUCUGUGUUGUCCUGCCGAUCGAGAGUCCAAGUGUUCUGGCAGGCAUUCAAAAUGAUUAGCAAUAGAAAAUCUCAUUUGGAAAAGAGAACAUUCAUAGAGACUUGAGUUCAAUGACUUUCCUUUGUGUCUAAACUGCAGGACUAAGAAGUUUUCACUUUUAAAUAUUAAAA